rnacentral:lncRNA from 1 species
CCGUGGAGCAAGGCCUCAGGUGGAGGCUGCACGGCCCAAGGGCUCCAUCACUCUCUAGCCCCAGCCCCUGGGCCUCAUUGUGUGGGUCCUGGCAUUCCAGUACUCUGCUCGUCUGAAAUGUGACCGCACUGAAUCAGAUCUGACAGCCCAGUGCUCUCCUGUGGUCAGCAGGUACAUGGACAGUGAUUUUUAAAGGAACAGAGAUGGUCUAGUCCCCUGGAGCUGGAGGUGGUGAAGAGGGAGUGUUCACUGCAAGCCUGGAGAGGCAGGAAGGAGAAGAACAUUUUACAGACUGGUGCACCUGAACCCGUGUGUUAAACUGGACUCCACAUUUUGCCUCCUGUGGGACCAAGGGCAAGUUAUCCAGCAUCUCUGAGCCCUUCUUUCUUGCAUUCUGCCUCAAAGAAUUGUGAACUUUCAAUGACACAACCCCCAGUCACCGAUGGUAUCUUCAGGGGACGGCGUGUGCCCCUCCUGUUUGGAAGUGGCACACAGCUGGCAUCUCUCCUGAUGGGCUGUGGAUCGGCUCUCCCUAACUGGUGCCAUUGCCUUUCAGGAUGAUAAGUUUUUUGAAUAUUCUUUUUUUUUAUACCAGGGAUCAAACUUGG